rnacentral:tRNA from 1 species
GUUGCUGGCUCAGUGGUAGUGUGCAUGCUUUCUGUGUAUGAUGUCCUGGGUUCAAUCCCCAGGUCACG